CACCGCACCGCCGGGAAGCGACGCCCACCUGUUUGCUCAGAUAUUGCCAUUUCCAGGCCAUGACACCUGCACCCUGAAUGUGACACAGCAAAACAUUGACUCUCCACUGGCAUCAGACAUACAGGAAUUAUGAAGGAUGAAACCAUCUCCCCCAGGCCUUCAAUAAGUGCAAGUGGAUUGCUUUGUAAACAGAAGUGCAAACUCGUUCCGAUAGUGGUUCCGCACCAGUGCUCGGCAGCCGCCCUGGCACAGCGGGCAGUAGAGACAGCUGCUGCACCUGUCGCCUAAGGCCGAGAGGGCCGGGAGGCCGCUCCUGGAGGGGGCGCACUGACCGGUGAUGCGCUCCUCCAGUCUCCAGGGCAUCUUUAGCUUCUCGGCCUCUGGGCUUCCCAGCUUGCUGCACACCUCGGGCCUGUACCCACUGCUGUCAGUUGAAAGCGUGCAUUCUGGAAAGCCACAGUGGGACAUCCCUAAUGCACACCCUUCCUUCUUCACCUUCUCCCUGGACACCUUUGCUAAGAGAUUUGGCUAAUUUCUUC
ensembl:lncRNA novel transcript